GCUUGUCUCAAAGAUUAAGCCAUGCAUGUCUAAGUAUAAAUGUUAUACAGUGAAACUGCGAAUGGCUCAUUAAAACAGUUAUAGUUUAUUUGAUAAUCGAAUUUACAUGGAUAACCGUGGUAAUUCUAGAGCUAAUACAUGCUGUUUUGCCUGACUCUGUGGUAAGGCUGUGCUUAUUAGUACCAGAACCAACCCAAGUUCUGCUUGGUUGCAUCCUGAUUCAUAAUAAACGAAUGGAUUGCAUGCUUUGGCUGGCAAUGUAGCAUCUAAGUUUCUGACCUAUCAGCUUCCGACGGUAAGGUAUUGGCUUACCGUGGCAAUGACGGGUAACGGAGAAUUAGGGUUUGAUUCCGGAGAGGGAGCCUGAGAAACGGCUACCACAUCUAAGGAAGGCAGCAGG
rnacentral:rRNA from 1 species